rnacentral:lncRNA from 7 species
AUAGUACUCUAGGAAGGUAGAAAAAAGCUCUUAAUGUCUAAUGCCAGAAUCUGAGAGCGGAUGGUUUUAAUGAAGCUGAGAGAACUGACCUCGCUGCCAAGUAAUGAGAGAUGUACAGAGAAUGGCUUUGUUAAAGAAGUGGCUAAGUGAAGUAGGAUUGCAUCAGUCUUGAAAACAGUUGAGGAGAAAAGACAGUUGUGGAGAUACGGAGAAAAUAUAAAAAUAAAGCAAAACGGACUGCCCUUCCCCUCCUCUCCCUCCAUCCCCCCCCCCCCCCAAAAAAAAAAAAGAAAAACAACCCAAAACAAGACAAAAACAAACCACUACAGGUUAAAAGAAUUCCUCCCAGGAGACACCAUAGCUUUUCAUGAAGCUGGAGCAUGCCAAAUUCUAGACUUCUGCUUAGACUGGCAAAACUCUUCAAAAUGAGCAGUUUUUCAUCUUCAGUGACAUUCUGUGGGUUAUUUGGCUUAUUCCCAUGUCCUUUUUCUGUCUCUUUAGAAGACUGUGGUGGUCCAGAUAAUUUAUUUCACAAUGCACAUACUUGGGCUGUGGGAUUCCAGGUGUGGAAAAAUUACUACAUCUACCUCGACUUUCCUAUUGACCAUACUCAUAGGAAAUUUGGGUAUUUCAUAAGCCUGUGGGUUCUUGUGACAAAUGAUUUACUAACAGACAGUCAGGUUUAUUGAUAGUUACCUCGUAUUUUAACUGCACGUUUGAAAUGCUUUAAGAACCUUUGGAAGUAAAGACCAUCAGAACCAUCAUAAUGAUGCUUUCAAAAGCUUUUAUUGAAUCAUUGCCUAAGAAUCUGAAACUUUGCGAUAAUGAAUCAUGUCCUGUUACAUUCUUGUCCCUUGUAAUGCAAUAAAGGGUGAUGUAUGUUGGCCAAAGAUUGGC